GUAGCGUGAAGGAUGACUGCCCUAUGGGUUGUAAACUUCUUUUAUAAAGGAAUAAAGUCGGGUAUGCAUACCCGUUUGCAUGUACUUUAUGAAUAAGGAUCGGCUAACUCCGUGCCAGCAGCCGCGGUAAUACGGAGGAUCCGAGCGUUAUCCGGAUUUAUUGGGUUUAAGGGGAGCGUAGAUGGAUGUUUAAGUCAGUUGUGAAAGUUUGCGGCUCAACCGUAAAAUUGCAGUUGAUACUGGAUGUCUUGAGUGCAGUUGAGGCAGGCGGAAUUCGUGGUGUAGCGGUGAAAUGCUUAGAUAUCACGAAGAACUCCGAUUGCGAAGGCAGCCUGCUAAGCUGCAACUGACAUUGAGGCUCGAAAGUGUGGGUAUCAAACAGGAUUAGAUACCCUGGUAGUCCACACGGUAAACGAUGAAUACUCGCUGUUUGCGAUAUACGGCAAGCGGCCAAGCGAAAGCGUUAAGUAUUCCACCUGGGGAGUACG
rnacentral:rRNA from 1 species